CUUCUUUCUUCUUCUUUCUUCCCUUCUCUUUUCUUCUCUCUCGGGUUCUCUCAAGCCUUCUCUCAUUUUCCCCCAAAAUAUGAGAAAAUGGGUAAUAUAGAUGAUAUUUAAUGGAUAAUUAUUGAAUAAUUGCAUGUCAAGUCCCUCUUUUAUGUUUUAAAUAAAGUCUAGUCAUUAACUUUCCAUUCUUGUAAAAUAAAUCCUCAAAUUUAAAUGAUGUCCAUGUUAAACCCUCAAGGAUUGUCAAUUUGUAAAAUAACCCAAAUAAAAUAAUUUAUUUCAUUAAGGUCCUCAUUUGACUUUGACUUUGAAAAUUCAACUCUGGACUUUUGACUACAUAAAAUGGGUUGUAACAGAAAGUCUGUCUAUUCUUCAUUGCAUUCCACUUGAGCAUGGUUUCCCUCACCUUCGGCAUUACUAUCAUUCCUUUGAUCUCUGCUCAACCUCGCCUAUGGCAAAGGCAUUGCCAAAAUUGCGAAACAAUCAAGUUGCUAACAGGUGAAGGUGACCAUGAUCUUCGAAUCCGUUCUUGGACAUGCUUUAGUAGGAACUAUUGAAUAAGGAAACUAUCUUGUCAAUCCCUUCAAACGAGUCCCUAGAGAUCAAGAAAGGUCAUAUGAAAUUAAUUUCUACAAUAAAAUCUAAUUGCACAAGGAAACUUAGCAUAACCAACAAGGAGCCAAGCGAGCUUAGGGCUGCCCUCCCCAUCCUUGUUCCUCAAGGGUUUUCUCUUAUAAAAUACAACAUACAUUUAAAAGUAAAUUGAUGUGUGUUAAUUCAACUAAUAGAUAAUAACAAACACCAAGCAAGUAAUCUAUCAAGUAAAUAAUAAGAUUAUUAAAUCUGAAAGCAAAUACUUCCCUAUCAAUACUUCGAAGAUUUGGUACCAAAAUGGAUGGAUAAAGGCUUACAUAAAGAGCCAAGAAUCAUACAGCAACACCACACAAUUUGGAUCAAAGUAACCAACUUAAAUGGACCACAAGGAAUACCCAAAACCAGCCAAGGAAGCUAAGAACACAAGGCAACUGUAAAGGACCGAAAUAGGAACUGAAAUCGAACAUAGCGAUUUGGCAAAACCAAGGUUCAAGUUGCAGGACACACUAGCCUAAGGAGUAGAGGAGGCAGCCCACAAAUGGGGCAUAAGACAAAGGCCAAAGAAGAUUACGAAGAAGAGCAGCCAGAUGAGGUUAAAAGGAGCAACUAAUGUCGAU
rnacentral:lncRNA from 1 species